rnacentral:rRNA from 1 species
UACGUAGGGGGCAAGCGUUGUCCGGAUUCAUUGGGCGUAAAGAGCGUGUAGGCGGCCAGGUAGGUCGGUUGUGAAAACUGGAGGCUCAACCUUCAGAGGUCGACCGAAACCAUCUGGCUAGAGUCCGGGAGAGGAGAGUGGAAUUCCUGGUGUAGCGGUGAAAUGCGCAGAUAUCAGGAAGAACACCCGUGGCGAAAGCGGCUCUCUGGAACGGUACUGACGCU